rnacentral:miRNA from 1 species
CACGUCGAUGAUGUAUCCUCAGC